UCAUUUUAAGCACUGAAGGAAUAUAUAUGUUAUAAUGACACAAAGAUAUAACAGUAUAUGGAAUACACCCUUGCAUACAUCUUCUCCUUCAGCUACAAAGGAUACCACCUCGGAUCUCUCAUCGUUAUUGGACUGAAUGAGGAAACAGUUAAGCAUACAGGAAUUAUCUAGAAGAAUUAAUGGAGCGACAUGUAGGAUCACAUACUACUAAACUUGGUCAGUGUCAUCUACACUCGGUCAUUCAGUCUCCCCUCAUUAGAUUUUCUAAAAGAGAGCCUCCUCUCUGAAUUCUAUUAACACAAACCAAUUGUUCAUCUACAUCAUAAAGAAAACGAAGAAGGGAAGAAGAAACAGAAAUAGGAACAUUCAGGUAACCCCAGAGGGCACCCAAAACCCAUAGAUAUCUAGGAUCUGGAGCUUGCCCUUUCAGCGGCUGCGCAACAGAGACAAGAUAUUUCAUUGCUACUCCCUCCGUUCCAAAAUAGAUGACUCAACUUUGUAACUUUGUACUAAAGUUAAUACAAAGUAGACUCAUCUAUUUUGGAACGAAGGGAGUAGAUGAGAGUGAACAUACUCGCAAAAGCAGUCACCAACAAGCAGGAACAGUCCACAAAUGGCAAGAGUGGCUUUAAAAGUUUGAUUUCUCUGUGCACUUUAAUUGCUUUUAAGCUGCCAGUCAAACGACUUCAGGUCGCCAUCUUUGAGAUGCUCAGAAGACUUGAUUUUUGUCACUUGCUCGAAGAGCUUUACUCCCCAAAUCAGCGCUAAUCUGCAAAAUUGACCAUGAGUUUAACCAAAUAACAAACCACAUGAAUCAGAACAAAAGUAUCAGACACCGCUUUUAUUCUCAAAACAGGCCUCAUUCAUAAAUCUCCAAAUCUUCCAUAAUACAGCAGCCAACCCCACUGCGAUACAAAAAAUUGUCAUGGUGUUUUCAAUCUAAGCCCUCAGAACCUAAAGAAGUCAUGAUUAGUAUCAGGUACAAUUUUCAGAUUAAAAGUGAACUGCAAAAUGGUUCAGAUCAACUAAGUAUCCCAUCUCCGCCAUGUAACUAACAUGCUUUAUUCCUGUUCCACAUUUGCAAAGUAUCUCCCCAAAGGGUCCUUGUAAAUCGCUCUGAUUCCCAUAUGAUUUAAUUUUAAUGUAGCUGAUUUGAACAUUAACAAAAUAGUCACCGAAAUAAGUUUGACAUAUUGAACAGAAAUAUGGUUUGUGGAUAAUAUGCUUGGGACGGAUUCGAUAAGAGAACAACAAUCAAAUAAUAUGACUUGUACCACUCGCACUUAAAACUGACUAAUAGAAAGGAAACCAGGAAUAAUUUUCCGACAAUGUGAUCAUCAGCGAUUCAACAUCAAACACAGCUAACCCUACAGUUUGCGCUCAGUAUGAUCAGGACGAAUUCGACAUGACAACCACAAUUGAACAUGACGACUUGCAGGAUUCACACAUAAACUACAUAACGGAUAGGAAGCCAACUUAAUAAACUGAUAUACAGUUCUCUAGCCACAUUAUCAGGAUGAGCUGAAUGAGAAGUUGAGAACAACCACAAUUGAUCACAUUUCAGUUGCAACCUUGAAGCUUAAACUGCUCAACAGAAACAAAACAACCUGAUAUUAGUAGCUCAGAAGAAGCCAACAGCAGCAGACUAACGAUGAUGGAUUUGUCCAUUUUGCAUCGCAUCACCAUUGAGAGCCACAUCAGAGAUCAGUGAGUCCUUGCUAGCGAUAACAAUCUGCCACGAUCUGAAAAAUUACCAAGCACAAAACUCAUAACCAACCGACUGAUCCUUUUGUCCAC
rnacentral:lncRNA from 1 species